rnacentral:pre_miRNA from 1 species
GAGUGGGUCUUGCACUUGGUCGCUCAAUGACCAAACUACCCUCCAGUCUAUGUUCCCUCUAAAAACCCUUCUCGUCCAGAAAAACAUUGGCUAACGGGUAUUUUGGUCAUUGAGUGACCAAAUUGCAAGACAUCUUA